GCUGGGGGCAGACAGCGGGUCAGCACCCCCCACCCCUUGGCACCCCGCAACGCCGCCUGGGCUCUGGGCGCUUCCCACGACCGCGGAAGAGAGGGAUCCUGGAGCCCAGGCCCGUCUUGGCGAGGGGCGGUGGGAAGAGCACAGGAGAGAGCAGCCCGUGAGAGGCCGCGGCAACCGCGGGUCCCUGCGCCCCUGACACUGUGUGACCACACGGACGGGUCCUGACACUGUGUGACCACACGGACGGGUCACUGCUUCGCUUCCACUCUCUUAGCCUGCUACCAUCCUGCGUCACUGGAACAACCCGGGAACUCCCUUUCUGCAUCGAACAUCUCAACUGCGGGGCGGUGUGGGGUCUCCCCUUGGCGGUGGAAAAUACACGGCGUGAACACCCCUGCCUACAGCC